rnacentral:lncRNA from 1 species
UUGUUAUUUUUGUAGAAUUGUGAACCAAUUAGCUUAAAGCUAUUGUAGAGAAGGGGUUGUAUGGUUCCUAUUUAUUGUCUAAGAGACAACCAUGUUUUCUUUGAUAUUUUUUUCUUUUUCUUUUUUCAUGUUUUUGGUCAAAAAUAAUCAUUUCGUGCUACUUGGUCUUCCAUCCAUAUGCUUCUGCCCUUAAAAUUUUAAUCUUUAUGCUUGUGUGUCUUAUGUUUAUACAUUUAAAUUGUAUUCAUCAUUUGAAUUUUCUUUUUUAAAAAUGAAAUUAGUUUUUCUCAAACAUAUUUUUAAAUUUUUUAAUGUUGUUUUUUCUCCUUUUCAUCUCUCAUUCUUUGGUUUUGUCCUGGUUUUGAUGGCUUUAAUUGUUGUUUUGAUUGUUCUUAUGUGGAUUUUGAACACCAAAUGUUAGUUCCAACUCGCUCCAUUCCUUGCUCUUUACCCUUUAUUUACACUCCAGUCUCGGCAUGUAGAUAUUUAUUUUCAUUUAAAAAUUUAGUUGAUAAUCAUAUGAGCUUGUUAUCCCAAUUUUUUUCAAGUUUUUUUCUCUUUUCUAAUAUACGUAUGUUUCUUUGGAACAGAUAUGGAGAUUUAAUCAAAUACAAGUAGAGAUCUGAAUCUAGAAAGCUUAAAUAAAAGAGCUACUAUAAACUAGUUACUUUUAGGAAUUACCACACUACUGGUGUGGUGUUUAUCUUCUUCUAUUAAGGGUGAGUUUUCUUUAAUCAAUUGCUUUGUUUACAGUUUUGUUUUAUCUUUAAGCUUUUGGUCUUUGUUAAAUUACUUGAAGGUUUUUUUUUUCUUCUUUAAUCUUAAAGCUUAUCUUUUUUAUUUAUCUCUUCUUUUAAGUUUGAUGUUAAUUGAUGAUUUCAAAAGGCUGAUUACACUUUAGUUAUAUUUAUUCUCAUGGUUUAGUCACGUGCCUUUUUGGGUUAAAGUAAGUUUGUUAUUGGUCUUAACCUUUGGGUGUUUAAAAUAAGUUGGAUGAAUUCAAAUUUGUUAAUCUCAAACCUUUUUUCUACCUUCAGUUUUUUACGUCACUUGUGUUUGAUGGUUUUGAAGGAUUUUGAGACGAAUGACUUGUUGAAAAAAUAUUUUAUUUAAGUGUUUGAAAAUAUUGAAGUUGAUCAUAUUUCGAAGCAUGUUGAAAUUUCACCUAAAAUGUGUAGAAAGCUUUAGAGCCUAAAACCUUCUUUUUUUAUAAAUAGAAAUAUGCACUUCCAAGACCUAAAACAAGAAGCACAAAUUGAGCAUGGGAUUAGAAUGGUUAUUAUGAUUCUUACACAAGAUAUUCAUGUUACAAACUCGUUUAGUUUUUGUGUUAAUAUAAUUUGAAUUAUGUAAUAUGAAUAUGUUUUUUCCAUGAUUUGUUUUCUUAACAAAAAGGUGUAUAAGGUUUUGGAUUUUAUAAUACAAUAAAACAAACAAUUCAGAUUUUAUAAUGCCUUGUGUGAAAAUUAAAAUUUUCAUUUUAUACCUUGCUUAUUUUGCCAUAAGGAGGGGUCCGAAACAUGAAUAGGGUGAUUCAAUUUUUAAAUUCAAGUACUAAUUUAUUCGGUGUAUAUAGGAAAAAAAAAACAUAUUUUAUAAUAUAUAUUCUACAAUUUCAAUGACAUUUUUUAAAAUUUUAAAGAGCGAGUGAGGAUUUAUUAAAUAGUUAUGCUAACUAGUAUAUCUGAUUCUAGUUAUAAAAGUUAAAAGUAAUUUUUUUUAAUAUUUUAUAAUUAAAUUAAAAAUAAAUAAACUGAAAACAAUAAAUUCUUAGACUUUAAAUAAAUAAAAAAUCGAUUGAAAAAAGAAAAGGAAGGAGGUUUCCUAUACAAAACAUGUAGGAAGUUCGACGAGAACCUACCAAUUGUUCCAAUCUGUGAGUCGCCAUUGUUUGGUAAUAAUUAUUCUCAAACUCUCGUUUCUAUUUACAAUUUUCUUCUUUCAAUUUCUCUUUUUGCUCCAAUUGUUACUCUGCGUGUUGGUUCAUUUUGCAUCCAAGUUUGUGUAAUUCCUUCCUUGCUCUUACAUGUUUAAAUGCAUAAUUUGAGUGGUACUAUGAGCAUAUUUUAAUUGACUUAUUUGAGCUUUUCUUACAGAAAUAACUUAUCCAUAAGCACUUAUAUGAUAUGUGUUAUACUAUAAGUCCUUAAUUAAGCCUUUUAUCCAAACAUAGCAUAUAUAUCUAUAGGGAUUGCCCACUUGCUACUAAUAACUAUGGCAUGUGUUCCUAUUGCUUUGAGUUUUCCUGGUUGUGAUUUUUUGGCUAUGAUCUUUGGCAAACCUUGUGCAAAGUCUCAGUUGGCCCUUCAAUAUUCUCACUUUAUUUAUUAAAGUAAAGACUAGUUAUAAUAUAAUAUGGUAAUAAUUAUUUAUAGCUGCUGCGUUAGGUUAAGCUUCACUGAUGAUUUCGUUUGCAAUCUCCAAAAGAAAUUGCAUUGGAUGAGAUACUCUUAUCAAGCUGUGGUAGGAUGUUAUUAUAGUGUAAAACUUUCCUAGUUUGAGUCUCUUUAGUUUCCAUUGUAACCCCUGCAUUAAAAGUUGCAUCGCAUUAAUGCAUUUGGAGUUCUUGUAUGGUCAUGUAGGCAACUUAACUUUGCAUUAUAGUUAUAUUGUGGACAUUUUUCUGUCAAACAAUAUCGAGUUUUGGUUAGUAUAUUGGUUCUGCCAUACUCUUGGAGAAGAUUUUGAUGAUUCAUUACAUUAUGUCCAACAUGCUUUGUUUUUGUUGCAUUGUAUUUCUAUGUAUGGACGUGUUUUGUUUGCUGUCAUUGGAUGAAACGAAUGUAUUAAGUUCGUGGGUUGUUGUUUUUGCUGUAUUACAGCCUUCUAUAUUUCAGUUUAUAUGCAAAUUUGAUUCAUUUAUAUACUCUGAUGAGUUAAUAAUAAAAUCUUGGUUGAUAUUCAAAUACGGGUGUUAGUUGAGGGAAUGAUUAAUUCAUAUACUAAUAGGACAAAACUCAACUUUUACCUAUCUGACAUUAUUUUUUAUUAUCCUUCAGCACUUGCUAAUGUAUCUUUAUUGUGUAGGUAAAUUUUAAGUAAUAUUAGUUUCUAUUCCACCUUCAUUGUUGCUGCACUAUACUUGAACAAUAUCAACUUAGUGUUGGUUUACAGAAACUUCCUCUAUACUUUCUUAAAUUACUGCAACGCUUUAAGGUUCAAAGGCUCUCAUCAAUGGUAUAUUGACUAACUAUUCUACUCCUAAUUUUUUUUUACUUCGGAUUUGUAAUUAUUGCUUUAUCUUUUGUAAAAAAUAACAAGCAAAUAGAUUCCCCUAUUGUCAUGAGAAGCAACGUUUUGAAUUCUAGUUCUUAAUCUCUUUUCUGUUUGUUUCUUACUAUAUGUAUUGCCA